UUUAACUGGAGAUGUCACAUCUCUCUUUCUAAUUGUUUGCAACAGAAUAACAUUGCUGAAAAAGAGAAAGAGAAAGAGAAUCUACAAAUGCAAACACGAAAACUUCAAGGCUAGUGCUAUGACUACAACUAUUUGCAAGAGACAGAAACCCUCUUUGUACAGCAUUAAGCAUCACUUUCUCUGAAGGAAUAGGAGAAGAAGAGGAGGCAACGAGGAUAUGAAGUUGUCAAAAUUAGGGUCGAGGAACAACAUAAAGCGUCCCUGCUCUCACGUACCUUUGACUGAGGAACAGUUAACCAAAGUUCUAAAGAAAUACGAUUCCAAUGGCGACUGUUACCUCAACAAAGAAGAUCUUAAGGAAUUGUUCCAGCAGCUGGGAGCCACCAUCCCGAGAUGGCGAGCCCCCCGAGCUCUCCACCAUGCUGAGGUAAAAAUCGGAUUGUGCCUUAUAUAUACAGUGUAAUUUUUCGACGUAGGAGGUUCGAAUGAACCCCUUUCGCCUCAUAAAUCCGCCCACGUAGGAAGUGACUAGUUAAUUACUUAUUAUACUAGUGAAUUAACGUAUGCUUUUUUUCCUUCAAGAUUGUUACAUAUGAUAAAAUCUAUGUGGGUGAAUUUUGUACUUCUCUUUUUCGUGUGUCCUGCUGUAACAAAUAUUGCCUACUUGUACAGUUGUGCUAGUGGAUAGAUGCAAUUGAG